AAGAGUGAACCUCACCUACGGAAACGUAGGUUAGACGAGGGAUGUACUCAAAAGCAAACACCACCUACGGAAAAACGUAGGUUAGACGGGGGACGCAUCGGCUAAACACACACCCCGUUCUACAAAAAACGUAGACAGAGGGGCAGGUGUUCAAGAGUGAACCUCAACUACGGAAGAACGUAGGUUAGACGAGGGACGUACUCAAGAGCAAACCUCACCUAUGGAAGAACGUAGGUUAGACGAGGGAUAAGCUCAAAUAAUAAUCCUCACCUACGGAUGAACGUAGGUAGACGAGGGAUCACGCC
rnacentral:lncRNA from 1 species